rnacentral:rRNA from 1 species
CUUUGGUUGUUGGGUGGAUUAGUGGCGAACGGGUGAGUAAUACGUGGGUAACCUGCCCUCCUUUUUGGGAUAAGCCUUGGAAACGGGGUCUAAUACCGAAUAUUCUGGCGCUCUCGCAUGGGGGUGUUGGGAAAGCUUUUGUGUGAAGGGGGAUGGGCUCGCGGCCUAUCAGCUUGUUGGUGGGGUGAUGGCCUACCAAGGCGGUGACGGGUAGCCGGCCUGAGAGGGUGACCGGCCACAUUGGGACUGAGAUACGGCCCAGACUCCUACGGGAGGCAGCAGUGGGGGAUAUUGCACAAUGGGCGAAAGCCUGAUGCAGCGACGCCGCGUGGGGGAUGAAGGCUUUCGGGUUGUAAACCUCUUUCGCUAUCGAACAAGGCCCGCUUAGGGUGGGUUGAGGGUAGGUGGAGAAGAAGCGCCGGCUAACU